rnacentral:lncRNA from 1 species
CUGCAGUUGAUGACUUUUAGAGACUUCGAAAGUAAGAUCAAGACCCAUGCCAUGCUGCCUGAAUACCGUCAUAAUUUUGUCAACACCCUCGGGGUGAAUGUCACUAUUGAUAAAAAACUGAAUAACGAAA